rnacentral:rRNA from 1 species
CAGUCGCCGCGGUAAGACGGAGGGUGCUAGCGUUGUUCGGAAUCACUGGGCGUAAAGGGCGCGUAGGCGGCCUGUUAAGUCGGAUGUGAAAGCCCGGGGCUCAACCCCGGAACUGCAUCCGAGACUGGCAGGCUUGAGACCGGGAGAGGAGGGUGGAAUAUCCAGUGUAGAGGUGAAAUUCGUAGAUAUUGGAUGGAACACCGGUGGCGAAGGCGGCUCACUGGCCCGAUACUGACGCUGAGGCACGAAAGCGUGGGGAGCAAACAGGAUUAGAUACCCGCGUAGUCCCUGUCUCUUAUAC